GGUGAAGAAGCGCCGAGGCUGGGAGUAGGGGCCUCAUUUGAUGGAGACGGUGGGCUGGAGGCCGAAGGUGAUAGUGCUGGAGACUUAGCUUUGGUCUUGCUAGGGGCCGGAGCUGGAACCGUGGCAGGAGGAGAAGCCAAAGGAGCUGGUGGUGGGGUAGCUGGAGGAGGAGUAGCAGGAGGGGGAGAAGCAGGUGGUGGGGUAGCCGGAGGUGGAGAAGCCGGUGGGGGAGUUGCGGGAGGUGGAGUAGCCGGGGGAGGAGAAGCUGGUGGUGGGGAGCUAACGGGCGGGGGAGUCGCUGGAGGAGGAGUGGAAACUGGUGGUGGUGAUGAAGUAGGAGGAGGAGAGGAAGCUGGUGGCGGAGAAGUAGUUGUGGGUGUUGGAGGUGGUUGAGUAGUAGGUGGAGGUGUGGAAGCGGGUGGAGUCGGCGGCGCCGGCGUGGAUGUCGGAGGAUUACUAGGAGUAGGAGGAGCUUGGCCUAAAACGCCAGCUACAGCAAUGCAAAACAAAGCUGAUAAGAACAAAAACUUAUUAUUAAGCAUCAUAUUGGAAACAAUGGUGACCCUUUAAUCCUGCACACCCUCUCCGCUUAAACUACGCCCAGCCGUGCAAGCAAAUGAGGGAGAAGAAGAG
rnacentral:lncRNA from 1 species